rnacentral:rRNA from 1 species
UAGCGUAUAUUUAAGUUGUUGCAGUUAAAAAGCUCGUAGUCGGAUUUUGGCUGAGUAACGGUCGGUCCGCCGUUAGGUGUGCACUGACUGGUCUCAGCUUCCUGGUGAGGAGGUGUGCUUCAUCGCCACUUAGUCACCGUGGUUACUUUGAAAAAAUUAGAGUGUUCAAAGCGGGCUUACGCUUGAAUAUAUUAGCAUGGAAUAACACCAUAGGACUCCUGUCCUAUUUCGUUGGUCUCGGGACGGGAGUAAUGAUUAAGAGGAACAGUUGGGGGCAUUCGUAUUUCAUUGUCAGAGGUGAAAUUCUUGGAUUUAUGAAAGACGAACUUCUGCGAAAGCAUUUGCCAAGGAUGUUUUCAUUGAUCAAGAACGAAAGUUGGGGGCUCGAAGACGAUCAGAUACCGUCCUAGUCUUAACCAUAAACUAUGCCGACUCGGGAUUGGGGGCGUGUUCUAUCCGCCUUCAGCACCGUAUGAGAAGUCAAAGUCUUUGGGUUCUGGGGGGAGUAUGGUCGCAAGGCUGAAACUUAAAGGAAUUGACGGAAGGGCA